AGGGAAGAGGCCAUGUGAAUGAAGAUGGAGGCAGAGACUGAAUUUAGGUUCCCACAAACCAAGGAAUGCCAGAAACCACCAAAAGCUGGAAGAGGAAAAGGAGGAUUCUUCCUUACAGACUUCAGAGAGAGCAUGGCCCUGAAAACACAUUGAUUUCAGACUUUCAGCCUCCAGAAUCAUGAGAGAAAAAAUGUCUGUUGUUUUAAGUCACAGCAGCUGCAGCAACCCUGGCCAGCAGCUGCUCAUGGUCUAGGAAGGACAGCUGUCUUAACACCCAUUCAUCUGUAGAGAGCAGCCUUUUGGAUCAGCGGAUGGCUCCACCAGAUGCUCAGCUUGUUUUCAGUUCUGGAGUCUGAAAUCCCCAGUGCCAUCUACCUGGCAUCAGUCUCAGGGUGAAACAUCUCACAGUGGAAGAGGAGCAUUCUGUGUUGAGAAUUUCCAUUGACGAAGCCAACUGAGUGGCCUGAUUCCCUUGGACCAGCAAUCUAGAGCUAGGGAAGAUGUUGCCCCAAGGAAGAGGCACAGCAGACACUUGGCUCUCCUCUUGGGUUUCUGCUUUCUCUGAGAAAACAGAAGUUUGAGGCCUCUAGAAGCACUGCAUUCCCUCCAAAGGGAGGUUGUAGAUACAUUAAUUAAUAUGAUUUUAAUUCAAAACUUCCUGAGGCAGAUAAUUCUAAAUGAUUAUCCCAAAAAUAUUUCCAACACCCUUCUUUUUACCACCCACUGGCCCCCAAAUCCUCAAUUUUCCAGUCUCCCUUGAGCUAAGUGUGGCCCUAUGACUCACUUCCAGCCAUGAAAACAAGUGCAAAUCUGUUAGGAGUAUGUUCUGGGGCAAUUUUUGCUCUCCUGAUGAAGACAAAGGCUGUUGAUCCACUGAACCCACCCAGGUAAUCACUUAUUUUGUUCUUGUUCUAAGAGAAAAAUGACCCCAACUAUUAAAGUUACUGUGAGUUGAUUA
rnacentral:lncRNA from 1 species